UACGGGGGGGGCGAGCGUUGUUCGGAAUUAUUGGGCGUAAAGGGUGCGUAGGCGGUUUGGUAAGUCUUAUGUGAAAUCUACAGGCUCAACUUGUAGUCUGCAUGAGAAACUGCCGGGCUUGAGUAUGGGAGAGGUGAGUGGAAUUCCUGGUGUAGCGGUGAAAUGCGUAGAUAUCAGGAGGAACACCUGUGGCGAAAGCGGCUCACUGGACCAUAACUGACGCUGAUGCACGAAAGCUAGGGGAGCAAGCAGG
rnacentral:rRNA from 1 species